CAGUAGCCGCGGUAAUACGAAGGGUGCAAGCGUUACUCGGAAUUACUGGGCGUAAAGCGUGUGUAGGUGGUUGUUUAAGUCUGUCGUGAAAGCCCUGAGCUCAACCUGGGAAUUGCGAUGGAUACUGGGCGACUAGAGUGCGGUAGAGGAUAGUGGAAUUUCCGGUGUAGCAGUGAAAUGCGUAGAGAUCGGAAGGAACAUCUGUGGCGAAGGCGGCUAUCUGGGCCAACACUGACACUGAGACACGAAAGCGUGGGGAGCAAACAGGAUUAGAUACCCCCGUAGUCCCUGUCUCUUAUAC
rnacentral:rRNA from 1 species